GUCUGUAUGUAAUAUUAUUUACAGUCUGACCUGCCCACUGAAUUUUAAAGGGCCGCGGUAUUAUGACCGUGCUAAGGUAGCAUAAUCAUUAGUCUUUUAAUUGAAGGCUGGAAUGAAUGGUUGGAUGAAGAAUGUUCUGUCUUUUUUAAAAUUUGAAUUUAACUUUUAAGUGAAAAGGCUUAAAUUAUUUAGUGGGACGAUAAGACCCUAUAAAAUUUUAUAUAAAUUUGGUUAUAAUUUGAGAAUUAGGUGUGAUUCUKUUUUAGUUAAAUUAUAUUUUGUUGGGGAGAUGUUUAUAUAAUUGGUAACUGUUAGUUGAAAUUAAUAAUUAUGGUUAGUGUUUGAUCCUUUAUUAGAGAUUAAAAGAUUAAGUUACUUUAGGGAUAACAGCGUAAUUUUCUUUGAGAGUYCUUAUCGACAAGAGUAGUUGCGACCUCGAUGUUGAAUUAAAAUAUCAAAAUGGUGUAGCCGCUUUUUUGGUGGGUCUGUUCGACCUUUAAAAUUUU
rnacentral:rRNA from 1 species